CUCCUCUCAGGGUCGCACCUGGAGAGUUUCCAGUACUCUACCAGUCUCAGCUAUGGGAGGCAGAGUCAAACAGAGGCAUACCCAUUCCAUUCCUAACUUGGCCUGUGGCUAGUGAGUAGAAGGCAAUUUGAUACAAGU